CNUCUGGCUUAACUGGGGGCUCGCGGUGGGUACGGGCCGGCUUGAGUGCGGUAGGGGAGGCUGGAACUCCUGGUGUAGCGGUGGAAUGCGCAGAUAUCAGGAAGAACACCGGUGGCGAAGGCGGGUCUCUGGGCCGUUACUGACGCUGAGGAGCGAAAGCGUGGGGAGCGAACAGGAUUAGAUACCCUGGUAGUCCACGCCGUAAACGUUGGGCACUAGGUGUGGGGGGCCUUUUCCGGGUUUUCCGCGCCGUAGCUAACGCAUUAAGUGCCCCGCCUGGGGAGUACGGCCGCAAGGCUAAAACUCAAAGGAAUUGACGGGGGCCCGCACAAGCGGCGGAGCAUGCGGAUUAAUUCGAUGCAACGCGAAGAACCUUACCAAGGCUUGACAUGUGCCGGUCGGCUCCGGAGACGGGGUUUCCUCCUUGUGGGGCCGGUUCACAGGUGGUGCAUGGUUGUCGUCAGCUCGUGUCGUGAGAUGUUGGGUUAAGUCCCGCAACGAGCGCAACCCUUGUCUCGUGUUGCCAGCACGUUGUGGUGGGGACUCGCGGGAGACUGCCGGGGUCAACUCGGAGGAAGGUGGGGAUGACGUCAAAUCGUCAUGCCCCUUAUGUCUUGGGCUUCACGCAUGCUACAAUGGCCGGUACAGAGGGCUGCGAUACUGUGAGGUGGAGCGAAUCCCUUAAAGCCGGUCUCAGUUCGGAUCGGUGUCUGCAACUCGACACCGUGAAGUUGGAGUCGCUAGUAAUCGCAGAUCAGCAACGCUGCGGUGAAUACGUUCUCGGGCCUUGUACACACCGCCCGUCACGUCAUGAAAGU
rnacentral:rRNA from 1 species